rnacentral:tRNA from 1 species
GGGAUUAUGGCUCAGUGGUAGAGCACUCGCCUAGCAUGUGAGAGGCACUGGGUUUGAUCCUC